rnacentral:piRNA from 1 species
AUUAGUGCAAAAUCUUCACUUAGAACAGAUG